rnacentral:lncRNA from 1 species
CAUGCAUCUAUCAUGAAACGAGAUCGGUAUAUCAUGGAUUUACACUUGGAAAUUUGACUAGACGAUGAGGCCUUUUUUUAAUUUUAUUAGCGAGAAAUUGAAUUUUAUGCUGUUAAAUAAACUAGAGUUUCAAGCUAUGUAGUAUAUGUAAAUUGUAACUGAUAAUACACCUUUUAUACACCUAUAUUUAGUACACCUUUUAAUAAAAGAGGUAUGUUUAGUUUUACUUGACUUCAAAUCCUUUUAUUGUAUAGUAAAAGUAUCUUCAACUUCACUCUAUUUUUAAUCUAAAAUAAAAUUAGAAAUGCUUUAAGUUUAUUCUAUUUUCAACUUCAUAAAAUGAUAAUUUAAUAAUGAUUUUUUAUUCUAAAUAUAGUAAAAUUAAAAUAAAAUUAAUUCUAUUAUGAAGUUGUUUUAUUUUAAAAUAAAAAUAAAGUUUUCCUGCAGUUUAAAAAAUCUAUAUUCUAGAAAAAAAAAUGUUUCAAAAGGAUACUUGUUAGACAUUUUAAAUAUAUAUAGUAGAACCUCUAUAAAUUAAUACUUAAUAAAUUAAUAAUCUCUACAAAUUAAUAAAUUUUACUGGUCCCAACUUAAGUCAGUUCAAAAUUUGAUACAAAUUGAUAAAAUAAUAAGAUAAUAAUUUUCUAAGAAGUUU